UUAAGAUCAAUUACAGGGCUAUUGGUAUACAUGCCACUGUUGAACCCUUAGGGUUAUCAUGCCAUGCUGGUCAUUGUUGUGGGUCAUAUGGGGAGACAGUAUCACCAAGCAAACAAACAAAAACAGAGAUGCUCAGGACAUAAAGGUGCUUGUCUAACAACCCGAGUUUAAUCUGGAACCCAUAUCAAGGUGGAAGGAGAGAACUGAUUUCUAAAAACUGUCCUCUUACCUCCACAUGAACACUGUUGUAUGCUUUUUCUCAUUCACACACACACACACACAUUAUGCACACAGUAGUAAUAAAAAAAACUCAAUUUGUUUAAAAAGAAAGUAGUAAAGAUUGAACAGAUUUUAAUGUCACUUCAGAAAUUGUUGUUUUCAUGUGUUACUAGAGCCUCAGACUCUGGGUCAGGACUUCACCAGGGAGCAUCAUCCCCAGCCUUUACCCUACAUUUUUAACUACAACUUGGCCUUUAUUGAACGGGUGUUCAGCACCUUGUGUAAUAAGUACAGUUUACUCUUUUUCACUUAACUUUGAAAGAACCCUUGAGUAAGAGGUUUGCAAAGUUAGGCCACUGUCCACAAACUCUAAACAAAAGAGUGAACUCAGAUGAAAUUUCCUAUUCUGCUGCUUCUCUGGACAGCUUACAUUGUCUGAGUGGUUCAUUGUCAUUUUUUCUUUUCAGGGUUUUGGCUUUUUGCACUAAAUGUAACCUGGACUGAUUGUCUCAGGCUUGUGUUGCCCCAGGAUACUGUCAAAGGCAGUGUCUGUGUUUCUGCAGAGUUUUGCACAGAGUCUGUUCCCAUGCAAACCAAUGAGGGAGAAGUAGAGGAAGAAAGCUGUUCCAAGGUGGAACAGGAGGAUUUUGUAAUGGAAGGGCAUGGCAAGACUCCACCUCCUGGAGAAGAAAGCAAACAAAGAAUCAUGUAUGCAUAUACAUCAUGUGUGUGCCUGGUACCUGCAGAAGACAGAAGAGAUCAUCAACUCCCCCCAAAACUGGAGUUAUUGGCAGUUGUAAACAAUUGUGUGGGUGCUGGGAACUGAACCCAAGUUCUCUAGCAACAAGUGUUCUUAACUGCUGAGCCCCCAUAGGGAGGGUUUGGGUUUUUUGUUGUUGUUGUUGUUGUUUAAUUUUAAUUUUGUGCUUGUUUGCUUGCUUGCUUGCGACGGGGUCUCACUGUGUCUGGCUGACCUGGAACUAACUAUCUACACUAGCCUGGCCUUCAACUCCUAGAGUGAUCUGCCUACCUCUCUGCCUCCCAAAUUAUAGGAUUAAAGGCAUGCACAACCAAGCCAUGCCUAUUUUGUGUAUUGUAUAACCAGGUUUUCACAAAUUGUUGCUUCUGCCUCUGCCUUCCCCUCCUUGUCCUCAUUCUUUCCCCCUUCUUUGAGCCAUUAGAACAUAAGAAUGUUGAAAUCAAUUUGUUAAGAAAUACUAAGUUGAGAGGCUGGAGAGUUAAGCUCAGCAGUUAAGAGCACUGACUGCUCUUCCGGAGGACUCAGGCUCGAUUCCCACCUGGAGGCUCACAACUGUCUGUGACUCCAGUUCCAGGAGACCUGACACCCUCACACAGACAUACAUGUAGGCAAAACACCAACGCACAUGAAAUAAAAUAAAUUUAAAAAAGAAAUACUAAGUUGAACUCUCUGCAAACUCAGGAAUUACCCAGGAAGCUAGAGAGCAAGAGAAUACUGUACUUUUUUAUGUAAUCUUUUCAGAAUUGUAGGAAAGAGAAAUUAGGAAUUUUGCUUUCAAGUUAAUUGUUAUUUUUUGAGUGCCAUAGUAGUUUAAUAGAUAUUUUACCUCAUGAAAGUUUUGCUUUUAAAAAUUUGGGUGAAGGGCUGGAGAGAUGGCUCAGAGGUUAAGAGCACUGACUG